rnacentral:lncRNA from 1 species
UUUUUUUUAUUAGUGGUUGAGUCCUUACUGUGUACCAGGCAUGUACUAAGUACUGUUCAUGCAUUAUUUUAAAAAUCCUCAAAAUAACCUUCUGGAGCAGUAUUAUUUCCCCUCUCUCAUAAAUGAUAGAACUGGGACACAUAGAGUGCUUUUACUCCGUGGAAUCCUCUGAAGGUCCCACAGACAGAAUGCAAACAGCCAGAAGGUCUGCCUUUGAAACACUAACUCUUACUCUCUACAUUUUAUUCCUCCACAUAUGAAUGGGUAGGUGCUAUAAUUCACAAAUACGGAAACAAUGAAUUCUUCCCUAAGAGGCUGGGGCAUCAGUGAAAACUGAGCUAAAGAAAGCAUGUAAUGCUUGAGUUGGGUUUUAAGGUAUGUAUAGAUUACCAGGGAUGAGGAGAAAUCCUAGGUAGAUUGGGGUCAAGACAGAUGGAACCUUAUACGUGAAGUUUAAGAGUUCAGGGUAUUCUUUAAAGGCAAGAGGAGACAUCAGACACUUCAAACUAUGAAUUAUAUGAACAUGUCUAUAUUUCAGAAAGAUGAGUCUAUCAACAUAAUAGCAGAUUAUUUAUGUAAUGGGAGAAUUUGUGGGAAGAAAACUGAUGGCAAAAUUACUUAGAAGACCUCUGCUAAAUGUAGAGUUAAACACCAUUUUUUAUUAAAGUUCAUACCUAUUCUCUUUUUAUUCCCACAGAGAAAGACCUGGUCAAUUCAAGAUUCAUUUCAAUUGCAAUACAAGCAUUUCACCCUUUCACAUUUAAUGAUUAAGCCAUAAAAUAUUAAUGAUAUCAUCUUUGUUUUUGCAUGAGGAUGCAACUGUGUCAACAGAAUAAAUUUCACACUAAGUUUUAAGUCUCAGUUCUGCAACCUUCAGAAAUUCAUGUCACCUCUCUGGGCUUCACAGAAACGUAUAAGACAGGAUAGGCUACUACUGUCUUAUCACAACUACCGUCUUACCCAUCUAGUAAGGAUUUUAUGAUGGAGCAAAGGAGAGAUCAAGAGGAGUACCUUCUUAUCUAAUAUAAUGAUUGUUUGCCACGGGGGUCACUCACUGUGAGUCCUUGACGUCAGAGUCAGAACUCUAACAAACAGACAGCGGAAAGAUGCCAAGAAAUGUAGGUUGGGAGGAGAGAGGACCCAGGAAAAAGAAAAGAAACUGUGCAUCAAGCUCAUAGCCUUUCUAUUUAUCUGGCACUCACUGAAUGCCAGAAACAAU